UACGUAGGGGGCAAGCGUUGUCCGGAUUUAUUGGGCGUAAAGAGCGUGUAGGCGGCCAUGUAGGUCCGGUGUGAAAACUCGAGGCUUAACCUCGAGAUGUCAUCGGAAACCAUUUGGCUAGAGUCCGGAAGAGGAGAGUGGAAUUCCUGGUGUGACGGUGAAAUGCGCAGAUAUCAGGAGGAACACCGGUGGCGAAGGCAGGUCUCUGGGCCAUUACUGACACUGAGAAGCGAAAGCAUGGGGAGCGAACAGG
rnacentral:rRNA from 1 species